CAAGAUGGGGUAUCCCUACAUAGCGGGUGGGACCCACGGCGAAUGGUUCAUCAAGUCUUCAAAAAAGAAUAUAUACGAUUGCAUUGCAUAUACUAACGGAUGCGAUCAUACCAGCACUAAUGCACCGGAUCCCAUCAGAACUCCGUAGUUAAGCGUGCUUGGGCGAGAGUAGUACUAGGAUGGGUGACCUCCCGGGAAGUCCUCGUGUUGCAUCUCCUUUUAUGUUUAACCUUUUUUUUUUUGGUU
rnacentral:rRNA from 1 species